UGAGUGACAGGAGAACAGAUUGUGGUGGAG
rnacentral:piRNA from 1 species